rnacentral:rRNA from 1 species
CCUACGGGAGGCAGCAGUGGGGAAUAUUGCACAAUGGUGGAAACCCUGAUGCAGCGACGCCGCGUGAGCGAUGAAGUAUUUCGGUAUGUAAAACUCUAUCAGCAGGGAAGAAAAUGACGGUACCUGACUAAGAAGCCCCGGCUAACUACGUGCCAGCAGCCGCGGGAAUACGUAGGGGGCCAGCGUUAUCCGGAUUUACUGGGUGUAAAGGGGGCGUAGACGGCGAUGACAGCCGGAUGUGAACACCCGGGGCUCAACCCCGGGACUGCCUUUGGAACUGUAUAGCUGGAGUGUCGGAGAGGCAGGCGGAAUUCCUGGUGUAGCGGUGAAAUGCGUAGAUAUCAGGAGGAACCCCAGUGGCGAAGGCGGCCUGCUGGACGAUGACUGACGUUGAGGCUCGAAAGCGUGGGGAGCAAACAGGAUUAGAUACCCUUGUAGUC